rfam:Oryza glumipatula chromosome 9, whole genome shotgun sequence.
CAUAAAGACUGCAGAGUUUAUGUUCAACGUUUGACCGUCUGUCUUAUUUUUAGAAAUUUUAUGAUUAGUAUUUUAUUUGUUAUUAGAUGAUAAAAUAUGAAUAGUACUUUAUUUGUGACUAAUUUCUAUAAAAAAAAUAAUAAAAUUUUUAAAUAAGACGGACAGUUAAAUGUUGGACACGAAAAUUUAUAAGUGCACUUAUA